rnacentral:lncRNA from 1 species
AGAUUUAGUCACUUUUAUCAUACAGGUCAGUCAUCUUCUUGUUCAUUAGUAUCUCCAUGUUGCUGGUAUUCAAAAAUUAUAAUUUUUAUGAGUAUCUCUUCAUUUUUUGUUGUUUUAAACGUUUGAUGCAAUUUUAGCUCUAAGUAACCUUUAUAUUUUAAGAAUUUCAAUUUCGGUAUAUUACACAUAGUAUAAACUCGGUGUGGAUUUAAAUUGGUCAGGCAUUCUUGAAUUGUGAUUUAGAUUGAGUUUUUAAAUGCUUGUGCUUCAUUUUGUUGGGUUCUAAAUUAUUUGUGCUUAGUAUGAGUAAGAAUGUAUUGAGAGUUUAUCUGAAAGUGUGUAAAUGUAUUAGGAAUUUUCUAUUUUCACAUUGAUUGAGUGAUGUUGUUUGUGAGUUGAGGGUGUGAGGCACCUCACAUUUGAAUGAUUUUAUCAACUGCCCAUUGAAUAACACAAUUUACUGCUCAAGAGUUCAAAGCAUCUGUGUGCCUCUUCAGUAGAUUAGCAAGAUGAUGCAUAGCUCCAGCAUCAACAAUCAGUUUUAGUCAAACAUAAAUGAAGGAAGAAUUACGGUGAAGUAAAACUAAUUAAAAGAAUAGAUGAUGUUGUUCUAGAUUAGUUUUUAUGUUAUUUGUAUCUACAAUAUACUCUGUCCUAGAAACAACGUUGAGAAAAUAUAGUUCGUUACUGAUCAUGUAAUUGUUUUGUUUCUUUUCUCCCAGAUUUAGCACUGUAAUUUACCGAAAGAGUCUAAUCUAGAAUACAUAUAGAAAUAGAUUUAUAGUUUUAGUAAAUGGAUUUCAUUAUAGUUACUUGUUGUGAGAUCUUAUUAGCAUACAUAUGAAAGACAACCACUAAGAGUUUUGUUUCCCAUAAAAGUACCACUUACUUUGAGUUACCCAAGAUCAUAUUGUUCGGUGUAAAAGUAGUUACUUGUCUAGUGUUGAAACAACCUAUACUUUACAUAGUAGAAAGUGCUAUAAUCUCUGGAAUAGCAGGUACCUCAUCUGAUGGAGAAGAGAACACCGCAGCUAUUGCAUCUAGGAUAAGCUUAAUCAAUGUUGCAGCUGGUUCAUCGAUUCUCCUUUGAGUAGGGAAAGACUCACCUCCUCCGAUACAAAUAGAGCAAUACUCAUGAUACAAAUGGUUCUUUGCACGGAUACUAUGUUAUUUAUAGCGCAAAGAGAGCAGUUGAAGCUAUGUGUCCUGCCGUAGUCUCUUGCGCUGAUAUUUUUGUGUUUGCUGCAGGAGAUGCAAUUGUAUUA